UUUACAUAUGAGUUACACAGGGCUGGAGGCCAAGGUCAAGUUGAAAGUUGCGUCUGGCAG
rnacentral:sRNA from 1 species